rnacentral:rRNA from 1 species
CCCUUAGAUGUUCUGGGCCGCACGCGCGCUACACUGAUGCAUUCAACGAGUCUAAAACCUGCUCUGAUAGGGGUGGGUAAUCUUUUGAAUGUGCAUCGUGAUUGGGAUAGAUGAUUGCAAUUUUUCAUCUUCAACGAGGAAUGCCUAGUAAACGCAAGUCAUCAGCUUGCAUUGAUUACGUCCCUGCCCUUUGUACACACCGCCCGUCGCUCCUACCUAUUGAAUGAUCCGAUGAAUAUCAUGGAUUGAGGAUUAUAGCAGGUUCGCCUGUCUUGAUCUUCGAGAAGUGAAGUAAAUCUUAUCAUUUAGAGGAAGGAGAAGUCGUAACA